UUAAAUUGAAGAGUUUGAUCAUGGCUCAGAUUGAACGCUGGCGGCAGGCCUAACACAUGCAAGUCGAACGGUAGCACAGAGAGCUUGCUCUCGGGUGACGAGUGGCGGACGGGUGAGUAAUGUCUGGGAAACUGCCUGAUGGAGGGGGAUAACUACUGGAAACGGUGGCUAAUACCGCAUAACGUCGCAAGACCAAAGAGGGGGACCUUCGGGCCUCUUGCCAUCAGAUGUGCCCAGAUGGGAUUAGCUUGUUGGUGAGGUAACGGCUCACCAAGGCGACGAUCCCUAGCUGGUCUGAGAGGAUGACCAGCCACACUGGAACUGAGACACGGUCCAGACUCCUACGGGAGGCAGCAGUGGGGAAUAUUGCACAAUGGGCGCAAGCCUGAUGCAGCCAUGCCGCGUGUAUGAAGAAGGCCUUCGGGUUGUAAA
rnacentral:rRNA from 1 species